rnacentral:rRNA from 1 species
CUACGGGCGGCAGCAGCAGGGGAUCUUUUGCAAUGCGCGAAAGCGUGACAAAGCGAGCCAGAGUGUUUCUCGCAUAGAGAAACUUUUGCCAGCUGUAAAAAGGCUGGCGAAUAAGGACUGGGCAAGACCGGUGCCAGCCGCCGCGGUAAUCCCGGCAGUCCAAGUCGCAGCCAACUUUAUUGGGUCUAAAACAUCCGUAGCUUGCUUUGUUAGUCUAUUGUGAAAUUCUGUCUCUUAAAGGCAGAAAUGGCAACAGAUACUGCAAGGCUAGAGACUGGUGGAUGCGAGGAGUACAUCCAAGGUAGUAGUAAAAUACGUUAAUCUUGGAUGGACUAACAACAGCGAAGGCACCUCGCAAUGACAGUUCUGACAGUGAGGGAUGAAGGCUAGGGGCGCAAAAUGGAUUAGAUACCCCCGUAGUC